rnacentral:sRNA from 1 species
GGCACCAACGGCUUCCUGACGGUGUCUCAUGCGAAAUAUAUCGGAGCG